GGACCUGCUGUUGAUUUCAAACACCCGAUAAAUUCAAUCGAUGUUAAUGAUAUUAACAACAAGUCUAGAGGGCCCUUGAGAUUUUACAAUUCUGAGAUUCACACAGCAGCUUUCUGUUUGCCAUCUUUCGCCAAGAAGGUUAUUGAUUCAAGAGUAAAAUGAGGAUUGAAUCGGGGGAGUAGGUUGUGGCUCUUCAUUUUGAACCAAAUGCCUUGUCUACCCCCACACUGCAGAGCAACCAAGGCAUUUUCCUUCUUUAACUUUCCCUUAUUCAUUUUUCCGCUAGCUGCUUAUUCAGCAAUUCAGUUGUUCUAUUAUUCUGCUGCUGCUGCUUAAUACAAUACAACUUUUUCGCCCAUAGCAUAGCCCUUUGUUGAUAAAUUGAAUUCAGAACGUGUAUGUUCAAAUAGGAAGUCCUUUGUUGAUAAAUUAAAUUCAGAACA